rnacentral:rRNA from 1 species
UACGGGGGGGGCAAGCGUUGUUCGGAAUUACUGGGCGUAAAGGGCUCGUAGGCGGCCAACUAAGUCAGACGUGAAAUCCCUCGGCUUAACCGGGGAACUGCGUCUGAUACUGGUUGGCUUGAAUCCGGGAGAGGGAUGUGGAAUUCCAGGUGUAGCGGUGAAAUGCGUAGAUAUCUGGAGGAACACCGGUGGCGAAGGCGGCAUCCUGGACCGGUAUUGACGCUGAGGAGCGAAAGCCAGGGGAGCAAAGCGGG